rnacentral:rRNA from 1 species
GACGAACGCUGGCCGCGUGCCUAAUACAUGCAAGUUGAGCGCUGAAGGUUGGUACUUGUACCAACUGGAUGAGCAGCGAACGGGUGAGUAACGCGUGGGGAAUCUGCCUUUGAGCGGGGGACAACAUUUGGAAACGAAUGCUAAUACCGCAUAAAAACUUUAAACACAAGUUUUAAGUUUGAAAGAUGCAAUUGCAUCACUCAAAGAUGAUCCCGCGUUGUAUUAGCUAGUUGGUGAGGUAAAGGCUCACCAAGGCGAUGAUACAUAGCCGACCUGAGAGGGUGAUCGGCCACAUUGGGACUGAGACACGGCCCAAACUCCUACGGGAGGCAGCAGUAGGGAAUCUUCGGCAAUGGACGAAAGUCUGACCGAGCAACGCCGCGUGAGUGAAGAAGGUUUUCGGAUCGUAAAACUCUGUUGGUAGAGAAGAACGUUGGUGAGAGUGGAAAGCUCAUCAAGUGACGGUAACUACCCAGAAAGGGACGGCUAACUACGU